GGUUAAGCGUGGGGACUACUAAAGGAACUGCCUACGCAAGUAGUGAGGAAGGCGGGGAUGACGUCAAAUCAGCACGGCCCUUACGUCCAGGGCUACACACGUGCUACAAUGGCCGAUACAGAGGGCAGCUACCUGGUGACAGGAUGACAAAUCUCCAAAGUCGGUCUCAGUUCGGAUCGGAGUCUGCAACCCGACUCCGUGAAGUUGGAUUCGCUAGUAAUCGCGCAUCAGCCAUGGCGCGGUGAAUACGUUCCCGGGCCUU
rnacentral:rRNA from 1 species